AGUGAACGCUGGCGGUAGGCCUAACACAUGCAAGUCGAACGGCAGCACAGUAAGAGCUUGCUCUUACGGGUGGCGAGUGGCGGACGGGUGAGGAAGACAUCGGAAUCUACUUUUUCUUGGGGGAUAACGUAGGGAAACUUACGCUAAUACCGCAUACGACCUACGGGUGAAAGCAGCGGAUCUUCGCACCUUGCGCGAUUGAAUGAGCCGAUGUCGGAUUAGCUAGUUGGCGGGGUAAAGGCCCACCAAGGCGACGAUCCGUAGCUGGUCUGAGAGGAUGAUCAGCCACACUGGAACUGAGACACGGUCCAGACUCCUGCGGGAGGACGCAGUGGGGAAUAUUGGACAAUGGGCGCAAGCCUGAUACAGCCAUACCGCGUGGGUGAAGAAGGCGUUCGGGUUGUAAAGCCCUUUUGUUGGGAAAGAAAAGCAGCAGGUUAAUACCCCGCUGUUCUGACGGUACCCAAAGAAUAAGCACCGGCUAACUUCGUG
rnacentral:rRNA from 1 species